UGAGGAUAAAUGUGACUUUUUAUUACUCGCUUUAUAGAUCAUGGAUUAUAAUCUGACACCAAUUAAGGCUGAGGCAGCUGUUUAAUACAACUUUACUCAGUACU